rnacentral:rRNA from 1 species
UACGAAGGGUGCAAGCGUUACUCGGAAUUACUGGGCGUAAAGCGUGCGUAGGUGGUGAGUUAAGUCUGUCGUGAAAGCCCCGGGCUCAACCUCGGAACUGCCUUCGAUACUGGCGAUCUUUGAGUCCGGGAGAGGUGAGUGGAACUCCGAGUGUAGAGGUGAAAUUCGUAGAUAUUCGGAAGAACACCAGUGGCGAAGGCGGCUCACUGGCCCGGUACUGACGCUCAGGUGCGAAAGCGUGGGGAGCAAACAGG